UAAAGGAAGGUGUUUAUUGAGGGUGAGGGGCACACCCAGGUAGCAAACACACAGAGAAAAAAAAUCCUCUGCAAAGCAAAGAGGAUGACACUCUGAAAAUGAAAUCUCUUCUUGGGGAUGGGGGUUUUAAAGCCUCUGAAGAGUCUUACUCCUCUACUUUAGAGUUGGUCAGUUUGAAAAAGAGAAUGGUUUGAAACAUGUGGCAUGUUCUAAACACUGUAGCUGUCUGCAGACACCCCAGAAGAGAGCAAAAGAUCCCAUUAUAGAUGGUUGUGAGCCAUCAUGUGGUUGCUGGGAAUUGAACUCAGGAUCUCUGGAAGAGCAGUCAGUGCUCUUAACUGCUGAGCCAUCUCUCCAGCCCCAGAAGUCCUUCUUCUGGAGCUUAAUUUCAGGCUCAAUUUUUGUGGUGUGUUAUUAAAUUCCUGUAGUAUAAUAGUGAAAGAAUGAUUACUAAAGAAAUAAAAAUAAUACUAGUUUUGGUUUCAGAACUUAAAAACUGAUGUUUAAAUGAUAACCAGAAGACACACUUGCCAGAAGGCUGCAUCUAAUGACAUGAGAACAAUUUAAGCACAGGGAAUAAGAUACUUUAGUGCCUCAGGAAAGCCAUUAGUCUUUCUGGUAUCACCUGAAUUCCACCUGUCUUAAAGCAGUAAAAAUGUAACUUUACUUUCACUAAGUUUCCUUUCAGGCACACAGAACUCAGGUUGAACUAGUAGGAUCCCUGUCUAUAAAGAUAAGCAAGGCAGGGUAUGGUGGCUUGGGUUUGUAAUACCAGCACUUGGGAAGCUAAGGCAAGAUGGCUGCAAUGAAUCCAUGGCCAACCUGGGCCACAAUAAUAAAUAAUAAUAGAAUAUUACGUGCGUAUACACACAUUUUCACUUAUUCAACAUAGUCAUUUGCCUCCCAACGGCCUCACUUGACUGGAUUCAUUUCCACUAAUGCUUUUCUAUGAAUAACACGUAUCUUUACUCUUCCCUGAAUUCUUGGUAAUUCUAAACAAGCCUUGUCUUUCCACAUUUUAACGUGGCUGUUUUAAGUGGAUAGUAAUUUGGAAACAAAACUUUCUCCAUAAUAACUUACAAAUAAUGUAAUGGUUUUUCCAAACUUAGAUUAUAUCACAGAAAGAAUAUGACAGUUACUUAACGAGCAAAAACCUCGUAGAGUCCAGUUACUAGCCCAUUACCUCCCAUCUUCUGGAUUAGUCAUGGACAAUUUUGAAAAAAGAAAUAGUAACAGUAGUUUGGUGACAUAAUGAGGAGCAAGCAUUUAUAACAUGUUCAGCCAUCUCUUCCUGUGGGAGGAACAAAAGUCCUGUGCUCAACAGAUAAGCAACAGGGGAACCAAGAAUGUUUUGUUUUUCAAGACAGGGUUUCUCUGUGUAGCUCUGGCUGUCCUGGAACUUGUUCUGUAGAACAGGCACUACCCUCAAACUUAGAGACCCACCUGCCUCUGCCUCCCAAGUGCCAGGACUAAAGGUGUGUACCACCUUUACAGGUAGGAACCAGUAAUGUUAAAGACAGGGUUGUUCCUUCAAACAAGGGUAUAUAACCUUCUAUCCACCCAGAAGGCCGAGAGCAGAUGUGACUAAUAGCCUGGUGACCUUUUCUGCUGUGUGGCCAAGACCACAUCAGAUCUUUCUCCAGACCCGUAUCAUGAGCAUGUCAUUUACAGAAUUGAUCAUUAUGGAAGGUGUCUCAUGUAGUGAAUCUACAGAACCCAUCUUUAUGGAAGAUGUCACGUGUACUUUACAAAGAGUUUUGAUGGAGUCACACCUUAAACUUUAUUGUCCACAUGGAAUUGAGUUAAUUAUCACCAAAAAAGUUUUCACUAAAUUGUGCCGACCCUAAUAUAUGCAUAGAAUUGCACAUUGGUGGUGCAGCUAUCCAAAUCAUUUCUGCUCCUUACCCAUAUUCCUGUAAGUAACCCUAAUAAAACUCAUUGGUUCACCAAGUUUGCACUCUGAUGGUAUCCAUACUUUGGUCUGUGGUAGGUUCCCUAUCUGAGGUGAGUAGUGUCUCACUAGGAAAAGUUUUGUCCCGACAUACCUGUCCCCUGGACUUGUGUCUCCUAUGCUGUCACAGAAAGUUUGGAUAUGAAAUGCCUGCCACAUACAGACCCUGUGAAGAGCUUGUCCUUAGUUAGUAGCACUGAGAGGUGAUUUAAUCACAAAGGCAAAUACCUCAUAAAUGGGUUAAUCCGACGAUGAGGUCACAGCUGGACAAGCAAUUAGGAGUUGGCAACCUACUUGAGGAGGGAGAUCCCUGGAUAUAUUCCCCUUUCUCUUUGUUGGUGGCAAGGGAUUUGUUUUUACCAAGGUCUCACACCAUAAAGUUCUGCCUACACAGUCCUACAGGUAUAGGGCCACAUGGCUGUAGCCUGAAACCUCAGAGACCAUAAACCAAAAUUAAACCUCAUUGUGGACUUUCUAGGUAAUCUGUCAGUGACAAAAAGCUAUCACAAUCAUAAAAUUUUUGUUUUUGAGGCUUUAGUUGAGUACUGGGAUUAAAGGCUUGUGCCACCACUUCCUGCUCUAUAUAGCUUUUGUUUGGAAGAGGUUUUGUUUCAUUUUGAAGAUAUUAUAUAGCUCUUACUGGCUUGGAAUCAGUCUGACCCUCUAAUCAGAGAUCCACCUGUCUUUGUCUCCAGAGUGCCCGUCCCAACACACUUUGUAAAAAUGAGCUGUGAAAAUACCUUGCUUUGGUGACUAAGAUGUAUCCAAAUUUUCAGUGCGCUCUAUAGGUCCAAGGUUAAGACACUUUUCAAGAAAGUAAGCUUUAACAAAAUAACAAUUCCAACCCUUUGUACUGAGUCAGGAGAUUUUUCUUUCUCCCUAAAGGCCAUCUCAGAGGAUUAAGCUGGAAUAAAAAGAUCAUGGGAGGCCAGAGGCAGAAGGAUCAAUUGUUUCACGGUCGACCUCAGCUUUUGGGACUUUUAGUAUGGAUGGAAAAAGACCACAGCUCUCAGCCAGGCGGUGGUGGCGCACGCCUUUAAUCCCAGCACUCGGGAGACAAAGACAGGCGGAUUUCUGAGUUCAGGGCCAGCCUGGUCUACAAAGUGAGUUUCAGGACAGCCAGAACUAUACAGAGAAACUGUCUCGAAAAAAACAAAAAAACCACAGCUCUCAUCUUAAAGGGAAUAAAUGAUGGGUUAUCCUGGAGCCAUUUUGAUUGACCAUGGUCCCGGAACACAGAUUUAGGUUAUUCCAAACUCCAUGUAAGAUGAGAGCUGUGUUUUUCUCUUCAUUGACACAGGGAUAGUUACUUUCUCUCCACUCUGACAAAAACCAUCUCUUUAAGACGAGACUCCCCAGCGCAAUGAAAUCGCCCGUGUACUGUCCUCGCCAUAAACCUAUUUUUGGAACUAGGGAUUUUCCAGAUUACUGUAAACCCGGCGAAGUGAGGUCAGGGCUAGGCAUGCCUUUCUAGGCUACACCCCGACACCCACGCGCGCUCGGAGCUUUCCGGAAACCCCAGGCGCUCAAACUGGGAAGCUGCCCGGUUCAGAGUCACUUUGUUACACUCCGGUGUCGCCGACCGCCGGACUGUCACCAACGCGCAGACCGUGCAGGGGUAUCGGGGCCGACUCACCAGGCCAGAGUCCGGGUUAUCCGGUGACUAAAGCCAUUACCACCCCUGAGCCGCCAGCACCCUGCCCCGCCCUGCCCAUCCGGACCCCUCCGCCCGGUGUCACCGACCGAAGCGCGGAGGAACUCGUUGGCGCGCGCGGGGAGUGGAGUGGGGUGGGGUAGGGCGUGUCGGCGUGGUGACGUCAGGGCGGAAGCGCACGCUGCGUGCGGCGGCCUGGAAGCCGGCGGUCACGGGAAGAUCCGUCGCGCCGAGGACGCUGGUUAGUCUCGCUUUGGGUUCCGGCUGCGUCGGGCGUGCGUGGAGCUCGCUGGAACUAUGGCGUCCGGGCCUCACCCGACCUCGACCGCUGCCGCCGCCGCCGCCGCUGCCGCCUCCGCCUCGUCCGCCGCCCCGAGCGCGGGCGGCUCCAGCUCCGGCACGACCACCACGACGACGACCACGACCGGAGGGAUCCUGAUCGGCGACCGCCUGUAUUCGGAGGUGUCGCUCACCAUCGACCACUCGCUGAUCCCGGAGGAGCGGCUCUCGCCUACCCCGUCCAUGCAGGACGGCCUGGACCUGCCCAGCGAGACGGAUCUGCGCAUCUUGGGCUGCGAGCUCAUCCAGGCCGCCGGCAUCCUCCUCCGGCUGCCGCAGGUGGCGAUGGCUACAGGGCAGGUGCUGUUCCAUCGGUUCUUCUACUCCAAGUCGUUCGUCAAACACAGUUUCGAGAUUGUUGCUAUGGCCUGUAUUAAUCUUGCGUCAAAAAUCGAAGAAGCGCCAAGAAGAAUAAGAGAUGUGAUUAAUGUAUUCCACCACCUCCGCCAGUUAAGAGGAAAAAGCGACCAGCUACAUUUACCAAAGCCUGGGUGAUGUGGAGUGGUACAUAGAGAUGAAGCUGUCGUCAUGGCAACAGUGAGUGAAGUAUCGAAAUCCCCAAGGAGAAGCCAGUGUUCUGAGAAUAGGUCACUGGAAUCGGGGACUAACAGGACUCCAAGCCCCCUGAUCCUUGAUCAGAACUACAUUAACACCAAAAAUCAAGUUAUCAAGGCAGAGAGGAGGGUGCUAAAGGAGUUGGGAUUUUGUGUUCAUGUCAAGCAUCCCCAUAAGAUCAUUGUAAUGUAUUUACAAGUCUUAGAAUGUGAACGUAACCAAACCCUGGUUCAAACUGCCUGGGUAGUCCAUGAUGGUAAGUCAUAGAACUCUGCCCUCUGCACUUCAGCCCAUGACCUCAGGAUGGCCUGAUUGGCUAGCCUGCUCUCCAGCCAGUCCAGUGCAAGCUCUCAUCCGAGAUUCACUGAAGUGGUCCAUACCCAUCUGGCAGCGUCUUCUAGUUCUGUCGGGGUGUCAAAAGGAUUUGUAUAUUUGCUUCUAGAAGUAACUAUGCAUCAUGCCUAUGUAUUAUUUCAUGUAUGCCUGUGACUAUCAAAAUGACUAUUUCAUUUUUGAUAGAUUGUUGUCCAGCCAUUAUGAAUUGUUUUUUUUUUGUUUGUUUUUUUUUUAAUUGGGUUCAGUUAAAUUUCAACUUGCGGUGUGUAUAGCAUCCGUUCUACCAAAGGAGGCUGAGGCUACCUUACACUUGUAGCUUUAAAUGGGUACCCAUUGCUGUUUUUUAGGUAUCUCCAGCUGUUGAGCUACUGCAGGCAGUGAUAUAAGAAGCAAUUAAUUUUAAAAAGAGAAGUUAAUGUUCUUUAAAUAUUUUUUGACCUUGGACCUUUGAGAAAGGCUAAGCGAGGAAAUUGUGGUUUAGUCAUAGAUGAUUCAUGUAACUGCUGGUAAACAAGCAUUAAAUAAUUCUGGAUCUUUCAGAAAUGUGUUUUUAUGACUGCCAUGCUUCUCUCGGAUUCAGUAGACACUGAACUGUAACAUUUGAAAAACCACAUCUCUUUAUAAAAUGCAUGAGUUUUUAACGUGUUUAUGUAGCAAAUACAGUAAUGAGUAAAAGGAUUUUAUAGAAAUAAUCCAUUUAAUUUCCAGCUCAGGCUUUUUAGCAAAUUGUAAAGUUUUCUAUUUAAGAAAUUUCAUGGGGAAGCUUCACUAGAGAUUUCUAAGUUUAUUUAAUUGAACUUAGGUCAUUGUUUUUAUUUAUCCGUAAUUGCAAAAGGUAUAUUAAACAAGGCUGUUGUGACGUAUUUAUUGUUCACUUCUCUACCUAGUUUUUUGCAAGUGUUUUUUUGUUUUUGUUUUUUUAAUUAUAAGUCAUUUGGUGGGUUCUUACUAAAAAUGCCUUUUUACCCCUGUUGAUAGUAUUUUUAAAGAACUUGAUUGACACUGCUUUUCGUUAUGGAUAAAGGAGAGAUGGUCAGUAACUAAGGCUUGAAGUCUUGUUGGGAGUGGUGAAUUCUGAACUUGUGUCAGAACUGACUUCCAAAACAUUGCUGUCUAUAACUGUGUGUUAGGAGGCGGCUUUGGGAGUAAGAUCUAUGUGAGUAAUGUAGAAUUACUUAAAGUGCUGUGGGGAAGUGGUUAGAAAAUACUACAUGGUACAAUUUAAAGAUGUGAAUAUAAGGAGAAGAAAAAAGAAUGAAGUAGAUUGAGUCUCCAACUUUAUGUGUACUUCAGGAGAACUGGUUUGCUUAUGAACUAAACUUAGAGCUGAAAUGUUUUUCAGGAAUUACAUGAAUGACAGUCUUCGAACCAAUGUCUUUGUUCGCUUUCAACCAGAGACUAUAGCAUGUGCUUGUAUCUACCUUGCAGCUAGAGCACUUCAAAUUCCCUUGCCAACUCGGCCCCAUUGGUUUCUUCUGUUUGGUACCACAGAAGAGGAGAUUCAGGAAAUCUGCAUAGAGACGCUUAGACUUUAUACCAGGAAAAAGCCUAACUAUGAAUUGCUGGAAAAGGAAGUAGAAAAAAGAAAAGUAGCCUUACAGGAAGCCAAGUUAAAAGCAAAGGGAUUGAAUCUUGAUGGAACUCCAGCCCUUUCAACUCUUGGUGGAUUUUCUCCAGCCUCUAAACCAUCAUCACCAAGAGAAGUGAAAGCUGAAGAGAAAUCACCAGUCUCCAUUAAUGUGAAGACAGUCAAAAAAGAACCUGAGGAUAGACAGCAGGCGUCAAAAAGCCCUUACAAUGGUGUAAGAAAAGACAGCAAGAGAAGCAGAACCAGCAGAAGUGCUAGUAGAUCAAGGUCAAGAACCAGGUCCCGUUCCAGAUCACACAGCCCAAGAAGACAUUAUAAUAAUAGGCGAAGUCGAUCUGGAACAUACAGCUCAAGAUCAAGAAGCAGGUCUCGCAGUCACAGUGAAAGCCCUCGAAGACAUCAUAAUCAUGGUUCUCCUCACCUUAAGGCCAAACAUACCAGAGAAGAUUUAAAAAGCUCAAAUAGACACGGUCAUAAGAGGAAAAAGUCUCGGUCUCGAUCUCAGAGCAAGACUCGGGAUCACUCAGAUGUUACCAAGAAACACAGGCACGAAAGGGGACAUCACAGAGACAGGCGUGAACGAUCUCGCUCCUUUGAGAGGUCCCAUAAAGGCAAGCACCAUGGUGGCAGUCGCUCAGGACAUGGCAGGCAUAGGCGCUGACUUUCAUCCUCUGACACUGCAGCGGUUCCUGGUGUUGCCCAUAUGCAGUGUAAUGAUGUGUGGACUCAAUCGAAACAUAAAAAAAAAAAAACUGAUUAGGAAAUGAUUUAUUAAAAUUGUCUAGGUUUCUAGAAACACUGAGGACAUUUUCUUUGGAAAAGAACUAUGUUAAGGUUUUUUGCACAUUAAAAUGCCCUAGCAGUAUCUAAUUGAAAACCAUGGUCAGGUUCAAUUGUACUUUAUUAUAGUUGUGUAUUGUUUAUUGCUAUAAGAACUGGAGCAUAAAUUCUGUAAAAAUGUAUCUUAUUUUUAUACAGAUGAAACUUGCAGACUUGUUGUAUUUAAGUGGUUAUUUGUUUAAAUGAUGGUGAAUACUUUCCUAACACUGGUUUGUCUGCAUGGGCAAAGAUUUUUACAAGGAAAUAAAAUACAAAUCUUGUUUUUAUAAACUGUUUCAAAUAUCUUAUUUAGAUUGCCAAGAAGCAAAAUUUUUAUGGCAGAUAACUGUUUUUUUUUGCAGAGGUGCAGUUUAGAAUAAUUACAAUGUCUUGCCUACAUUAUGUAAUGGCCGUUGUGUAUAUAGGAAAAGGAAAUAGGAAUGGCCUGGUAGUGCUAGCAACUAAAUGUAAAACCUGAUUGGAACCUAAUGUAUCAGAAGAUAAUUUUGAAUUAAAACUUGUAACAUGAA